rnacentral:rRNA from 1 species
AUUGAACGCUGGCGGCAGGCUUAACACAUGCAAGUCGAGCGGGGUGAUGGUGCUUGCACUAUCACUUAGCGGCGGACGGGUGAGUAAUGCUUAGGAAUCUGCCUAUUAGUGGGGGACAACAUCUCGAAAGGGAUGCUAAUACCGCAUACGUCCUACGGGAGAAAGCAGGGGAUCACUUGUGACCUUGCGCUAAUAGAUGAGCCUAAGUCGGAUUAGCUAGUUGGUGGGGUAAAGGCCUACCAAGGCGACGAUCUGUAGCGGGUCUGAGAGGAUGAUCCGCCACACUGGGACUGAGACACGGCCCAGACUCCUACGGGAGGCAGCAGUGGGGAAUAUUGGACAAUGGGGGGAACCCUGAUCCGGCCAUGCCGCGUGUGUGAAGAAGGCCUUAUGGUUGUAAAGCACUUUAAGCGAGGAGGAGGCUUUUUUGGUUAAUACCCAAGAUGAGUGGACGUUACUCGCAGAAUAAGCACCGGCUAACUCUGUGCCAGCCGCCGCAGUAA